rnacentral:rRNA from 1 species
GAUGAACGCUGGCGGCGUGCCUAAUACAUGCAAGUCGAGCGAACGGACGAGAAGCUUGCUUCUCUGAUGUUAGCGGCGGGCGGGUGAGUAACACGUGGAUAACCUACCUAUAAGACUGGGAUAACUUCGGGAAACCGGAGCUAAUACCGGAUAAUAUUUUGAACCGCAUGGUUCAAAAGUGAAAGACGGUCUUGCUGUCACUUAUAGAUGGAUCCGCGCUGCAUUAGCUAGUUGGUAAGGUAACGGCUUACCAAGGCAACGAUGCAUAGCCGACCUGAGAGGGUGAUCGGCCACACUGGAACUGAGACACGGUCCAGACUCCUACGGGAGGCAGCAGUAGGGAAUCUUCCGCAAUGGGCGAAAGCCUGACGGAGCAACGCCGCGUGAGUGAUGAAGGUCUUCGGAUCGUAAAACUCUGUUAUUAGGGAAGAACAUAUGUGUAAGUAACUGUGCACAUCUUGACGGUACCUAAUCAGAAAGCCACGGCUAACUACGUGCCAGCAGCCGCGGUAAUACGUAGGUGGCAAGCGUUAUCCGGGAUUAUUGGGCGUNAAGCGCGCGUAGCGGUUUUUUAAGUCUGAUGUGAAAGCCCACGGCUCAACCGUGGAGGGUCAUUGGAAACUGGAAAACUUGAGUGCAGAAGAGGAAAGUGGAAUUCCAUGUGUAGCGGUGAAAUGCGCAGAGAUAUGGAGGAACACCAGUGGCGAAGGCGACUUUCUGGUCUGUAACUGACGCUGAUGUGCGAAAGCGUGGGGAUCAAACAGGAUUAGAUACCCUGGUAGUCCACGCCGUAAACGAUGAGUGCUAAGUGUUAGGGGGUUUCCGCCCCUUAGUGCUGCAGCUAACGCAUUAAGCACUCCGCCUGGGGAGUACGACCGCAAGGUUGAAACUCAAAGGAAUUGACGGGGACCCGCACAAGCGGUGGAGCAUGUGGUUUAAUUCGAAGCAACGCGAAGAACCUUACCAAAUCUUGACAUCCUUUGACAACUCUAGAGAUAGAGCUUUCCCCUUCGGGGGGCAAAGUGACAGGUGGUGCAUGGUUGUCGUCAGCUCGUGUCGUGAGAUGUUGGGUUAAGUCCCGCAACGAGCGCAACCCUUAAGCUUAGUUGCCAUCAUUAAGUUGGGCACUCUAAGUUGACUGCCGGUGACAAACCGGAGGAAGGUGGGGAUGACGUCAAAUCAUCAUGCCCCUUAUGAUUUGGGCUACACACGUGCUACAAUGGACAAUACAAAGGGCAGCGAAACCGCGAGGUCAAGCAAAUCCCAUAAAGUUGUUCUCAGUUCGGAUUGUAGUCUGCAACUCGACUACAUGAAGCUGGAAUCGCUAGUAAUCGUAGAUCAGCAUGCUACGGUGAAUACGUUCCCGGGUCU